GCAAACUUGGUCAUUUAGAGGAAGUAAAAGUUGUAACAAGGUUUCCGUAGGUGAACCUGCGGAAGGAUCAUUAACAAAUCCAAUAAUUGGGGGUGGGGAUAAUAUAACCCUACCUUCAAAUAUUAAACCGCCGAUUAGCCUAGCGGCUAGUUGGUUGGAGAUAUAUAUAUGCAUGUUUUGUUGACAGUGUGUGUGACUAAAAAAUUUAUUGACAACUUUUAACAAUGGAUCUCUAGGCUCUUGCAUCGAUGAAGAACGCAGC
rnacentral:misc_RNA from 1 species